rnacentral:rRNA from 1 species
CAGUUCAGAUUGAGGGCUGCAACCCGCCCUCAUGAAGUCGGAGUUGCUAGUAAUCGCGGAUCAGCAUGCCGCGGUGAAUACGGUUCCCGGGCCUUGUACACACCGCCCGUCACACCAUGGGAGUUGGGAGCACCCGAAGCCGGUGAGGUAACCGAAAGGAGCCAGCCGUCGAAGGUGAGACCAAUGACUGGGGUGAAGUCGUAACAAGGUAAC